rnacentral:rRNA from 1 species
AACACAUGCAAGUCGAGCGGUAACAGGCGUAGCAAUACGUCUGACGAGCGGCGAACGGGUGAGCAAUGCUUCGGAAUCUGCCCCAAUGAUGGGAAUAACCAGUCGAAAGAUUGGCUAAUACCGCAUACGCCCUUCGGGGGAAAGCAGGGGAUCGCAAGACCUUGCGUCGAUGGAUGAGCCGAAGUCGGAUUAGCUUGUUGGUGAGGUAACGGCUCACCAAGGCGACGAUCAGUAGCUGGUCUGAGAGGAUGAUCAGCCUCACUGGGACUGAGACACGGCCCAGACUCCUACGGGAGGCAGCAGUAGGGAAUAUUGGACAAUGGGCGCAAGCCUGAUCCAGCCAUGCCGCGUGGGUGAUGAAGGCCCUAGGGUUGUAAAGCCCUUUCGGCGGGGAAGAUAAUGACGGUACCCGCAGAAGAAGCCCC